rnacentral:misc_RNA from 1 species
UCCCCGUUAUGCAGGGCAGUCUGACCAGAGUGCUUCCGAUUACUCGGAGUGGCAACAGGUCAUAGGGGUUGCGCUCGUUACCGGACUUAACCGAACACCUCACGGCACGAGCUGACGACAGCCAUGCAGCACCUGUGUAUGCUGGUAUUGCUACCUCGUUAGACUUUCAUCCUUCUACUACAUACAUGUCAAGGCCAGGUAAGGUUCUUCGCGUUGCAUCGAAUUAAGCCACAUGCUCCACCGCUUGUGCGGGCCCCCGUCAAUUUCUUUGAGUUUUAAUCUUGCGACCGUACUCCCCAGGCGGCGCAUUUAUCGCGUUAGCUACAAGACGGAAGGGGUCGAAUCCUCCCACCUCAAAUGCGCACCGUUUACGGCUAGGACUAC